rnacentral:misc_RNA from 1 species
UAAGAUAUCAUGCAAUGUGAGAUUUAUAUAUAAGAAAUGUAUUUUUUGGGGUUUGUUGUUAGGAAUUAUUAUAUCAUAUUUGUUUAUGAUAAAAAGGUGAGAGUUAGCCUUGGGAUGACAGGAAAGGGAGUAGUGGAAAAGGGAUUUAGCGGUCUUGGUUCUCUCUGAAGAAGUAGCCUUAAAUCAAGCCAAAUGAAGGAAAAUAAUUCUUAUGGCCAAUCCUAAUGAGUUUUGGAUCAAG